GUCAGAUAGCACAGUGGUUAGCGCUCCGGAGUCUUAUUCGCAAAAUCACUGGUUCAAGUCUAGUAGAUGACA